rnacentral:lncRNA from 1 species
CAGUCUACUGUCCAACUCAUUUCGACUUAUUUGGACUUGGAAAGAAACACUUCUCAGUCUGCAAUGAGCCAUUCCAGACACUUGUCAAGUUGGACCAACUACAAGAAGGCUUUCCUCGAUUCAUUGCAACUUCCCAGAAAUACAGCCCUGGUCACACUCUCAAAAGAAAAUGCUUUUGCAGGGUCUCUAUGUGAGUGAUUUCUGGCCACUCAGACUUCACACAGAGAGAAAAAGACCCUCAACACACUCCCCCACCCCCACCUCCACCCUCAAGAGCAAGAACUUGCAGAGCAAUGAGCCUUGCCUAAAAAAGGAAGUAGUUGCUGAAGUUGGACGGAGAACGGUCAUGCAGAAAAUAUGGCUCAAACUGUUGCACUCUGAAGAGGACAGGGAGAGUCCUCUUCAUGAAGCCAUACAGACACAAGGCUUGUUUUAAAGAUUCACAGCGUGAAGCAAAACCUCAGCUAUAAUCCCAAUACUUUCAGGAGGACAAAACUGUGACUUUGAGACCAGCCCAAACUACAAUAAUUAUGAGGCUAGCCAAGGGCUAUGUGGCAAGCUCUCAUCCAAAACAAAAACAAACAACUCAAAUAAAACUGAUUCACCGGUUGCAACAUUAGAAUUCCAAACACUUCAGCGGCACCAUAGGCCCUAAUGGGCUCUGAGCCUACAGGGUACCAUUCACUUUUCUGCUUCAAACCUCUGCAGAUGCUGUGCCUGACAAUGAUGUGAUGCUAUCCAAGGCUGUUUCCUCAGAAGAUGCUGAUUUUUAAAACCUCCCCAUUCUGUGCAUUCUCUAGGAGUUAAAGGAAGCAAGAAAAUGAAAAUCAAUCAGGCUACAGGAUGUAUCAAAAAGGCCUUUUCUCACAUCUUCCUUGCAAACAGGACUCCAGGAUAGAAAAUUCAUUCCCAUCAGAAUGAGACAGGUAACAUGUGUUUCUCAACUUGGUGGAACAACAGACAGCAUCCUGGAGAGCUGCAGUAUUUCAAUCCAGUCACUAAACCACACAUUGGACUUCCUUCGCCUCUGCCUCUCUCUGAUAGCUAUUAGCUAAAGGAUCACAUAAAAAGCAGAAGAGGCCUUGGACAGUUUGCUGUGGUUGGGACCAGAUAUCAGAAGUCUCCAUUCUGUUGGCAUCCUUGAUAGGAUGCUGAGGGACCUUCAGAGAAGGAUAAAGUCCCUGCCUUGUUUCUAGGCUUCCCUGCCUAGAACAACAUUUGGAAAGCAACAAUGACCAAAAAGGAAACAGAACCCAAGGCAAGAAGAACUGGAUGGAUAAGGACACCCAAAUGGUCCAAAUGAGUUUGAAACUCAAAUACCAGACAAGUUGUACCCAGUUCAGAGGACCCUUCCUUGCAGAGCCUUUGAAGAAAGUCUGAUCCAUAAGAGUUGGGCUAGAAGAAAGGCAUGUUUUGAAGCCGGGUUGGGGUGAGUGGAGUAGAGGAUCUCUCUAACAGCUACAAGCUGAUUCCAGAGAUAAUAAAUGAGACAGAUUAUAAGGGAAUGAGCCUGGUGAUGCCUGGGUGCCAGCCUCGCCUCCAUAAAAAGGAAAAAGCCAGAUAAAUACCAGUCACUUCUUUCCAGGUAAAAACUACACAGAGGGGGCAUAGUAAAAGUGGAGCAGACAAGAGGGACCUCAGCAAAGAAUUCUGGACAUGAUUAUUAUGACCAUAAGGCAAAAACCAGUACUAGAUCAACUGGCUGACUGGCAGUCAUGUAUUAGUUAGAGGAAAAAAAAUUAUUUCUUGGUCUUACCUCAGUAAUCUUUGACCAACAACAAAAGUAUUCUUAUCAAAACUGUCCCUGGAGACUGGAGAGAUGUUUCAGUGGUAAAGAACAGUGGUUGCUUUUCCAGAGACCCUGGGUUCAAUUCCCAGCAUCCACAUGGCAACUCAACACUCCAGUUCCAGAGGAUUGGACACCCUCAUAAAGACAUAUAUGCAGGCAAAACACCAGUGCACAUAAAAUGAAAAAUAAGGAUAAAUAAAUCAUCUU